rnacentral:rRNA from 1 species
AUUGAACGCUGGCGGCAUGCUUUACACAUGCCAGUCGAACGGCAGCGCGGGCUUCGGCCUGGCGGCGAGUGGCGAACGGGUGAGUAAUGCGUCGGAACGUGCCCAGUAGUGGGGGAUAGCCCGGCGAAAGCCGGAUUAAUACCGCAUACGACCUGAGGGUGAAAGCGGGGGACCGAAAGGCCUCGCGCUAUUGGAGCGGCCGAUGUCGGAUUAGCUAGUUGGUGGGGUAAAGGCUUACCAAGGCGACGAUCCGUAGCUGGUCUGAGAGGACGACCAGCCACACUGGGACUGAGACACGGCCCAGACUCCUACGGGAGGCAGCAGUGGGGAAUUUUGGACAAUGGGGGCAACCCUGAUCCAGCCAUGCCGCGUGCGGGAAGAAGGCCUUCGGGUUGUAAACCGCUUUUGUUCGGGAAGAAAUCCUCUGGGCUAAUACCCCGGGGGGAUGACGGUACCGGAAGAAUAAGCACCGGCUAACUACGUG